rnacentral:rRNA from 1 species
GGGUGGGUAACACGUGGGUGAUCUGCCCUGCACUUCGGGAUAAGCUUGGGAAACUGGGUCUAAUACCGGAUAGGAGCCAUCUUUAGUGUGGUGGUUGGAAAGUUUUUUCGGUGUAGGAUGAGCUCGCGGCCUAUCAGCUUGUUGGUGGGGUAAUGGCCUACCAAGGCGGCGACGGGUAGCCGGCCUGAGAGGGUGUACGGCCACAUUGGGACUGAGAUACGGCCCAG